UUGGGCGAAGAGAUUAGGUUUCUGCAGCAGACAGCUGUUUUAAUUGGAUAAAAACACUUUUUACCGAGUUUAUUAGGAAUAUUUGAGUGUGAACGUGUUUUUUGACAACAUUUGCAACAUUGUGUGGGAGGAUUUGCGUAACUUUUGUCAAACGAUAUCCAAUGCAGAAACUAACAUAAACAAUGUCGAAAAAAGCGAGAACUGUCAACGGAUUUAAAGGAACGGAUAGUAAUAUUGAAUGCAAAGGGAUUUAACUACAACAAAGUUAAUGAAUUAUUGGGAAUACUUCGCAGUACAGUCGGAUGUCUUUUGAAAAAAAAUCUUUCAAAAGGGAAGUGUUAAAAACGAUCCCGGAAGUUGAAAGCCGCGAGUGACAUAUGUGAGGGGUGAUCGGAAACUUAAUUGCAUUGUUAAAACAAAUCGUAGGCAAUCUUUACAGGAUGUAACAUUAGCAUACAAUAAAAAUGAAGGAACGCGUUUGUCCAAGAGAACGUGAGGCGAAGCUUACAUCUGGAAGGAUACAGGCGGGGGAAAAUUUAGAAAACUCUGACAAUAAGCAAAGUUUACCGACAACGCGAAAUUCGAUGGUGCGGAGGGAGAAAACAUUGGCAGUCUAAACAGUGGCAGAAAGUCCCGUGAGAUUGAUAACUUUAAAAAUCGUGAUGACUUAGUAGCAGCAGUUACGAGAAUUUGGAAUGGAUUUUCACAGACCUACAUGAGAAGGUUGUAUGCCUCAAUUCCCUACAGACGACGAUAGGUUACAAUUCAGAAAGGCUAUGCAACAUGAUACAAAAAGGAAAAUGUGAAGACACCUUUUAUCACAUUGAAAGUUCGUUUUUCUCUUUGCUGUUGAUGUUACUUUGUGAUGACGUCAGCCAUGUUUGUUGCAAUACUUUUGGUCACUUAGUGUAAGUAACACGUGUCUAUACACAAUCACUUCGAAGUAUCGCGAGUAAAAAAAAUCAGCAAACUAUAAAUAACGGAACUGCAGUUUGACUCUGAGGGAUCAAGAAUUUCGAGGAUCAACAAUUCGAGAAAUCAGAAGGAUGUUAGUUAUAUAGGAAAAAAUCCGGAACCUUAGACUCAAUUUGAGCAAUCAAGAACUUCAAGCGAUGGAAGUUUGAGCCAUCAAAUGUUACUUGUAUGUAUACUGACGUGGAGUUCAGUGAAUCAUUAUUCACUGUAGAAUAAUAACAAAAGCGACUUAUCAGAACUCGCAUACUAGAAAACAAUAAUUUUAAACUCUAUGAAAAAUGUUACAAACAUAUCAUCGGCUGUGCAAUGGUUUAAACUGUGUUCCCUAAUGUUUCUAACAUUAGAUUGUUCCCAAUAACCCAUUCAAUCAUAACACAGCUUCAAUAUACUAAUAAAGUGCUGUUUCGCGGCAGAUUUAGA